CUGUAAGUGGGGGGGAUAUUCUAGUUCGAAGGCUAGCCUAUCGCAUCCGACUAGGGUGAAGUGGGGGACGCAGCCUCAUGCUAUAGAGCGGCCGAUUCUGAUUAGCUUAGUUGUUGGGGUAAUGCUACUAGGCGAACGAUCAGUAGCUGUUUGAGAGGACGAUCAGUCACCCUAGGACUGAGACACGGCCAGACUCUACGGAGGCAGCAGUGGGGAAUUUCGACAAUGAGGGCACCUGAUCCAGCAUGCCGCGUGGUGUGAAGAAGGACUUCGGGUUGUAAAGCACUUUUGUCCGGGAAGAAAUCGCACCUGAUAAAUACCGGGUGUGGAUGACGGUACCGGAAGAAUAAGGACCGGCUAACUACGUGCCAGCAGCCGCGGUAAUACGUAGGGCCCAAGCGUUAAUCGGAAUUACUGGGCGUAAAGCGUGCGCAGGCGGUUGUGCAAGACCGAUGUGAAAUCCCCGGGCUUAACCUGGGAAUUGCAUUGGUGACUGCACGGCUAGAGUGUGUCAGAGGGGGGUAGAAUUCCACGUGUAGCAGUGAAAUGCGUAGAGAUGUGGAGGAAUACUGAUGGCGAAGGCAGCCCCCUGGGAUAACACUGACGCUCAUGCACGAAAGCGUGGGGAGCAAACAGGAUUAGAUACCCUGGUAGUCCACGCCCUAAACGAUGUCAACUAGUUGUUGGGGAUUCAUUUCCUUAGUAACGUAGCUAACGCGUGAAGUUGACCGCCUGGGGAGUACGGUCGCAAGAUUAAAACUCAAAGGAAUUGACGGGGACCCGCACAAGCGGUGGAUGAUGUGGAUUAAUUCGAUGCAACGCGAAAAACCUUACCUACCCUUGACAUGCCACUAACGAAGCAGAGAUGCAUUAGGUGCUCGUAAGAGAAAGUGGACACAGGUGCUGCAUGGCUGUCGUCAGCUCGUGUCGUGAGAUGUUGGGUUAAGUCCCGCAACGAGCGCAACCCUUGUCUCUAGUUGCUACGAAAGGGCACUCUAGAGAGACUGCCAGUGACAAACCGGAGGAAGGUGGGGAUGACGUCAAGUCCUCAUGGCCCUUAUGGGUAGGGCUUCACACGUCUAACGACGGUGUGUACAGAGGGCGGGCAAACCGCGAGGUGGAGCCAAUCCCAGAAAAUGCAUCGUAGUCCCGAUCGUAGUCUGCAACUUGGCUGCGUGAAGCUGGAAUCGCUGAUGCAUCGCCUAUGCAUUCAUGCCUACUUGCUUCG
rnacentral:rRNA from 1 species